AGUGAACGCUGGCGGUAGGCCUAACACAUGCAAGUCGAACGGCAGCACAGUAAGAGCUUGCUCUUACGGGUGGCGAGUGGUGGCCGGGUGGGGAAUAACUCGGAAUUUACUUUCUCGCGGGGGAGAACGUAGGGAAACUUACGCUAAUACCUCAUACGAACUACGGGUGAAAGCUGGGGGUCUUCGGACCUUGCGCGCUUGAAGGAGCCGAUGUCGGAUUAGCCAGUUGGCGGGGUAAAGGCCCACCAAGGCGACGAGCCGUAGCUGGUCUGCGAGGCUGAUGAGCGACACUGAAACUGGGACACGGUCCAGACUCCGACGGGAGGCAGCGGUGGGGAAUAUUGAACAAGGGGCGCAAGCCGGAUCCAGCCGUACCGCGUGGGUGAAGAAGGCCUUCGGGUUGUAGAGCCCUUUUCUUGGGAAAGAAAAGCAGCAGGUUAAGACCCCGCUGUUCUGACGGUACCCAAAGAAUAAGCACCGGCUAACUUCGUG
rnacentral:rRNA from 1 species